ensembl:lncRNA
UUUACAUGGGGAGACAGAGAUAUGCAGAAGUGCCACUGCGGGCAGAAUACAUCAAGUGCUGGAAGAGAGAUUCUGCAACAAAAUACAUAUGCAUCUGGGUAGUGUCAUGCUUUGGAAGACACCCUGAAGUAUAAGCAAAAGAUUCUUUGCUUAAAACAUUGAAACCACCACCAUGACCACCAGCAACAACAAAACCAACAAAACCCAAGACAAACGAGUUUUGUGGCAACAGCAAUAAAAGCCCAGGUCAAGUUAUUUCACAGUGGCUGCUGGAAAUCCAGCGAUCGUGUCCACAUUGGAGAUAUCUGGAAGGAAGAGGAGAGACGUGUAAUGCAAAACAAAAAACGAACAUUCAAAAACCCACAUCCAGAGUCACCUCUGUUUUUUAAGGAGACUUUUCGGGAGUUCCGUGGAACCUGCAGAAGGG